GGUACCUCAGAUGGAAAUGCAGAAAUCACCUGUCUUCUGCGACGCUCACACUGGGAGCUGUAGACCGGAGCUGUUCCUAUUCGGCCAUCUUGGCUCCUCCCCAGGAAAAAAUUUCUUAAAGUUGUUUUCUCCACUUUUCUGGUUGACAUUUGAUGACCUGCAGAUGGGACCUGAAGCAAGCUUCCUACAAUCCUCACUGCUUUGCUGACAUUUGGAACUUUAGUACAGGAUGAGUGGCUUUCACUUAUUUGACUUCAUCAGAGCUGAAGAGGGUCUCUGGCAUGGCUUCUCUCAGGUUUUGAAUCUCCCUGGUUUUGGCUGAGAUUCAUACUUUAUUCAGGCAUUCUGAUUCCACACUCAACAAAACUGGAAUUGAAGCUUCACUUUUAAAAGUGGGAGUUUCAUUUGUUAUUUCUUUAGAGAUUCUGCUGUUUGCUGAUACUGUUAGUAUAAUUUGGUUUUGUUUUGAAAGGUCAAAAGUAUACGUGCAACAACAUGGAUGAACGUUGAAAACAUUAUGCUAAGUGAAGGAAGCCACUCACCAAGGACCACAUACUGUAUGUUUCCAUUUAUAUGAAAUCUCCAGAAUAGGCAAAUUCCUAGAGACAAAAGUCACAUUAGUAGUUGCCGG
rnacentral:lncRNA from 1 species